CAAGAGAGAACGAGAGGGAGAAAUUGGAGGACAGACAACAGCUUUAAGGAGUUUUUGCUGUAAAGUGGAACACUGAAAUGGAUGUGGGCUGGAAGGGGGUCAAGAGAGAUUUUUGGAAAUUUCUCUUAUCUUCACAAAACUGUUCAUGCAGUUGGAAAUAAUGCAGCUGGGAGGGAAAAGUUGAUGGUGCAGGAGAAUGGGGGACUGGAGCAAGGCUCCGAGUGGCAGGCGGGGACAUGAAGCGAGGUACACACAGAGGUGCUGGCCUUCAGUGGAAGCACCGGUCGUUCAUCCAGGCUGUGCAGGGUGCAAGCAGAAGACAUGGACGAAGGGGAAGGGAUCUCUAGGAAGAGACUUGCCAACUCUGAGGCACAUUGAAAAGACCCACAAGUCUACUUCAUGUCAACUGGAAUAUUCACAUGUAAAAUUUGGGUAUAUUUUAGGAAAUUCAUACAACUGUUCUCACAUGAGAUUAAAAAAUCAGAAUCUUACUGAUUUUGAAUUUAUAAUCUAAGAAACUGGUAAAAUGUGCUGUUACAAUAAUAGCAUCAUAUUUCUUUUAGAGUAAUCAGAGAAUUUAGGCGUAAAGACCGUUAGAGAAUGCUUACCUAUAUUUCCUCCAAUUUCAUAUAACCGUUGGUUCUGAAUCUUAAUGCAUUCUGACGAACCAUAACUGAAAAAAAGAAGGCAAUGUAAUUUUAACCCUGUUCUAUGAU